ACAGUGAUGGUUCAGUGGUAGAAUUCUCGGCUUCCAUGUGGGAGACCUGGGUUCAAUUCCCAGCCAAUCCA
rnacentral:tRNA from 1 species